rnacentral:tRNA from 1 species
UAGCUCAGUUGGUAGAGCACGAGACUCUUAAUCUCAGGGUCGUGGGUUCGAGCCCUAC